rnacentral:rRNA from 1 species
AAAAGAAACUAACAAGGAUUCCCCUAGUAACGGCGAGUGAAGCGGGAAGAGCUCAAAUUUGAAAUCUGGCAGUCUUCGAUUGUCCGAGUUGUAAUCUAUAGAGGCGUUUUCCGUGCCGGACCGUGUCCAAGUCUCCUGGAAAGGAGUAUCAAAGAGGGUGAUAAUCCCGUACUUAACACGACCACCGGUGCUCUGUGAUACGUCUUCUACGAGUCGAGUUGUUUGGGAAUGCAGCUCAAAAUGGGUGGUGAAUUCCAUCUAAAGCUAAAUAUUGGCGAGAGACCGAUAGCGAACAAGUACCGUGAGGGAAAGAUGAAAAGCACUUUGGAAAGAGAGUUAAACAGUACGUGAAAUUGUUGAAAGGGAAACGAUUGAAGUCAGUCGUGUUCUUUGGAUUCAGCCAGUUCUGCUGGUCUACUUCCUUGGAACGGGUCAACAUCAGUUUUGUCCGGUGGAUAAAGGUAGUAGGAAUGUGACUUCUCCGGAAGUGUUAUAGCCUAUUAUCACAUACACUGGGUGAGACUGAGGACUGCAGCUCGCCUUUAUGGCCGGCCUUCGGGCACGUUCGAGCUUAGGAUGUUGACAUAAUGGCUUU